UGGGUGAGACGAAAUAGUCUGAC
rnacentral:piRNA from 1 species